ensembl:lncRNA
GGAAGGAGAGCGGGGGAAGAGGCUGCUCCACCUCUAUGAACAGCUAUAAAGAACUAGUCUCGGCUUGAGGAUCAGCAGUACUCUGGAGCAACCUUGAUAUGAACUAGUGUAAGGAAUGUCACGCUGUUUGCUUAGCAAGCACCGCUUCCCCGUUGAUCAGCUCAACUCAAGACCACAAACGUGACCAUCCUCGUGAAGCGUUCCAACCCAUUGGGCCAUUGGAAAAAGGCCUUCUUCAACAGCACAAAGGGCGACACACAGGCUGAGGAGUGAGUUUCACAGAUCCUCAUGGGUUACAAGAGCAUAAACAAGCCAUGGUUUACACACAUACUGUAGAUGUAUUAACACACACACACAUUAAAUCAGCCAGCUGAAAAUGCUGUCAGAGCAGCUCACAGAUCACUACACCUGUACAUAGCCCAUCUGCAAACAGCCCAUCUAUCUACCUACCUCCUCCCCGACCAGAGAGAGGACCACCGUCCUGCAGCCCUGCUGAGCUCCAGAGAGGCAGGAAGUGGAGGCGGGGCCAGGCCAGGGACUAACAUGAUCACAUCAACCCCAUUAGGAGGGUCCCACGUGGGGCCGGGCCGAGGGGGAGAGGGCAGCGCACACAAAGAGGUGCACUGUUCUCUCCCUCGGCUGGGUGAAAGAGCUGCCGCAUGCCAAUGUAAAAAUGAACUUAGGGGCUAAUCAGAGACAGCAGCCCCAUGCACUUUCCCACUGAAGUAUAGAUGAUGAUGCAUAUUUAAACUAUGUGGCCAGCGACUGUGGUUUCCUUUGGCAUAAUGCGUUGAGGGAGUGAGUGAGGCACAGCUGCAGCCAGGGGACAGAGGAGAGGUCUGGAGCUGAAGCUGUGGUGGGAGACCAGAGGGAAAACCCCACUGGGAUUGUUUGCAGACACACUGUACCUCCAGUAACUUUGUUCAGGGACGUAGUGUUCCAAGGCAUAGAAACACACCGUUAGUAGAAAAACAAUUCUUAGGAUUUGUGGGAUAUCAGAGUAGGCCUACUAUGUUAUUUCCCCUAUGCUUCUUAUGAUUAAAUAAGACAGAUGAGGAUCAUUUAUCUUUCGCAGUUAUGCUGGCUAAACAUGAAACCAGGGAAAAGGCACUGUUGUCGAGUAAUCAGUUAUGGUUUAAUAAAGCAAUCAACA